UAAUACGGAAGGUGCGAGCGUUGUUCGGAAUCACUGGGCUUAAAGAGCGUGUAGGCGGAAUGGUAGGUGCUUUGUGAAAUCCCUCGGCUCAACCGAGGAAUGGCUGGGCAAACCCCCAUUCUUGAGGCAGGUAGAGGCGACUGGAACCUUUGGUGGAGCGGUGAAAUGCGUAGAGAUCAAAGGGAACACCGGUGACGAAAGCGAGUCGCUGGGCCUGUCCUGACGCUGAGACGCGAAAGCGUGGGUAGCGAACAGGAUUAGAUACCCUGGUAGUCCACGCCGUAAACGAUGCGCACUAGGUACGGGGUUCUCUGACGGAGUCCGUGCCGAAGCAAAAGCGAUAAGUGCGCCGCCUGGGGAGUACGGCCGCAAGGCUA
rnacentral:rRNA from 1 species